rnacentral:rRNA from 1 species
UUAGAGUUUGAUCCUGGCUCAGGAUGAACGCUAGCGGCAGGCUUAACACAUGCAAGUCGAGGGGCAGCAGGGAGUAGCAAUACUCCGCUGGCGACCGGCGCACGGGUGCGUAACGCGUAUGCAACCUACCUUCAACAGGGAGAUAACCCAGGGAAACCAGGACUAAUAUCCCAUAUAGUCACGGGGCCGCAUGACCCUGUGACGAAAGAAAUUCGGUUUGAGAUGGGCAUGCGUGACAUUAGGUAGUUGGCGGGGCAACGGCCCACCAAGCCGACGAUGUCUAGGGGAGCUGAGAGGCUUAUCCCCCACACUGGUACUGAGACACGGACCAGACUCCUACGGGAGGCAGCAGUGAGGAAUAUUGGUCAAUGGACGGAAGUCUGAACCAGCCAUGCCGCGUGAGGGAAGAAUGCCCUAUGGGUUGUAAACCUCUUUUAUCUGGGAGCAAUAAGGGCCAUGCGUGGUUCGAUGAGAGUACCAGAGGAAUAAGCAUCGGCUAACUCCGUGCCAGCAGCCGCGGUAAUACGGAGGAUGCAAGCGUUAUCCGGAUUUAUUGGGUUUAAAGGGUGCGUAGGCGGAGCGCUAAGUCAGCGGUGAAAUAUCCCGGCUCAACCGGGAGGCUGCCGUUGAUACUGGCGUUCUCGAGUCCGAACGGCGCCGGCGGAAUGUGUCAUGUAGCGGUGAAAUGCAUAGAUAUGACACAGAACACCGAUCGCGAAGGCAGCUGGCGAGGACGUGACUGACGCUGAGGCACGAAAGCGUGGGGAUCAAACAGGAUUAGAUACCCUGGUAGUCCACGCAGUAAACGAUGAUGACUUGUUGUCGGCGAUACAAUGUCGGUGACAAAGCGAAAGCGAUAAGUCAUCCACCUGGGGAGUACGAUCGCAAGGUUGAAACUCAAAGGAAUUGACGGGGGCCCGCACAAGCGGAGGAACAUGUGGUUUAAUUCGAUGAUACGCGAGGAACCUUACCCGGGCUCGAACGGUGCAGGAAGAGAUCCAGAGAUAGUGACGUCCCUUCGGGGACCUGUAUCGAGGUGCUGCAUGGUUGUCGUCAGCUCGUGUCGUGAGAUGUUGGCUCAAGUGCCAUAACGAGCGCAACCCUUGCUGUCAGUUACCAGCACGUAAUGGUGGGGACUCUGACAGGACUGCCACCGUAAGGUGUGAGGAAGGCGGGGAUGACGUCAAAUCAGCACGGCCCUUACGUCCGGGGCGACACACGUGUUACAAUGACAGCUACAGAGGGGAGCUACCUGGCGACAGGAUGCAGAUCUCGAAAAGCUGCCUCAGUUCGGACUGGAGUCUGCAACCCGACUCCACGAAGCUGGAUUCGCUAGUAAUCGCGCAUCAGCCAUGGCGCGGUGAAUACGUUCCCGGGCCUUGUACACACCGCCCGUCAAG